GGAAACGGAGUUUAUUGACUAAGUGACUAACACUAAUCUCAAUAAAUGAAACGGUUGCACUAAGCUUUCGCAUGACAAACGAAGACCUCAUGUUGCAUAACAGUGUGACAAACUAAGGAUGCAGUGUGGAACGUGCACACCUUGGAUCAUGACAGAGAGAGAGAGAAGGAAGGAAGGGUAAGAGGAAGUGAAGCAUAUCCGUGCAUCUGGGUUGAUCUUCUUUGGCCACUGGUCUACAUGUGGAUGGCGAGGAGGGACCAGUAAACUUGUUAUCAAAUCACUCAGAAAGCAUCUCAGAAAAGCUUUUCAAGGGAAGGAUGAGCAGAUGAUGAACUUGGGGAAAUUUGCACAAUAGAAACUCGCAUUUGAUAGGAUUUAAGAAACAAGUAAAUAAGAAAUUAUAUAAGAAACAAGAAAAUUACAAAGGUUGAAUUGAGUGAGUAGAAUAAAUACAAGCUACAAACUUCAAUGAAAUGUAACAAUUUUGAAGAAAAACAGUUUUUGUUCUGAAAUGUGACUAAUUAUUUUAAAAUCAUAAUUCUUUUAGACUGAAUUUUAAACUGAAACCCUUCACAUUAUCAUGUUUGUAGCUACCAUAUAUUCCUCUUCUGAUCUAAUCAGUGUGUGAACAUCUGCACACAGCAAAAUAUGAAAACAUAACCUGCAUAGCAUGUCUCUUCAGCCCUGCUCUCACACACACAACACAGUAUGAGCCUUUACUGGUAUGGAAACAUUUUAAAUAUCAGUUUCACAGCUGCAUCAGCCAAAUGAGACAGAGAAGUGACAGACAAAGAGUAAGCACAAAAUUGUUGAUCAUUCAGUCCCUGUAUACUAAAGUGGAAUAAGAUGCAUAACAGAACAUAAUCUUUCA